AAUACCGGAUAUUAUGAGAUUCUCGCAUGGGAAACUUAUGAAAGCUAUAUGCGCCAAGAGAGAGCCUUGCGUUCCAUUAGCUAGUUGGUGGGGUAACGGCCCACCAAGGCGACGAUGGAUAGCCGGCCUGAGAGGGUGAACGGCCACAAGGGGACUGAGACACGGCCCUUACUCCUACGGGAGGCAGCAGUGGGGAAUAUUGGACAAUGGGCCACAAGCCUGAUCCAGCAAUUCUGUGUGCACGAUGAAGGUCUUCGGAUUGUAAAGUGCUUUCAGUUGGGAAGAAGAAAGUGACGGUACCAACAGAAGAAGCGACGGCUAAAUACGUGCCAGCAGCCGCGGUAAUACGUAUGUCGCAAGCGUUAUCCGGAUUUAUUGGGCGUAAAGCGCGUCUAGGCGGAAAAAUAAGUCUGAUGUUAAAAUGCGGGGCUCAACUCCGUAUUGCGUUGGAAACUGUUUUUCUAGAGUACUGGAGAGGUGGGCGGAACUACAAGUGUAGAGGUGAAAUUCGUAGAUAUUUGUAGGAAUGCCGAUGGAGAAGUCAGCUCACUGGACAGAUACUGACGCUAAAGCGCGAAAGCGUGGGGAGCAAACAGGAUUAGAUACCC
rnacentral:rRNA from 1 species